rnacentral:rRNA from 1 species
GACGAACGCUGGCGGCGUGCUUAACACAUGCAAGUCGAACGGUGACGAGGAGCUUGCUCCUCUGAUCAGUGGCGAACGGGUGAGUAACACGUGAGCAACCUGCCCCAGACUCUGGGAUAACAGUUGGAAACAGCUGCUAAUACCGGAUACGAGACGGAGAGGCAUCUCUACCGUCUGGAAAGUUUUUCGGUCUGGGAUGGACUCGCGGCCUAUCAGCUAGUUGGUGAGGUAAUGGCUCACCAAGGCGACGACGGGUAGCCGGCCUGAGAGGGUGUACGGCCACACUGGGAUUGAGACACGGCCCAGACUCCUACGGGAGGCAGCAGUGGGGAAUCUUCCGCAAUGGGCGCAAGCCUGACGGAGCAACGCCGCGUGGGUGAAGAAGGCCUUCGGGUUGUAAAGCCCUGUCUUAUGGGAAGAAGUCAGUGACGGUACCAUAGGAGGAAGCCACGGCUAACUACGUG